CUCGAAUGCUUUGUGCAACCAGUAAGAAGCCUGUCCCAGAGCAAACGAUCAGCUGAGCUUCAAAUUUUGAAAGGAAUUGAUGGCUACAUCAUGCCGGGUUCUAUGACUCUUGUCCUUGGUCCACCUGGUAAUCAACCUGGUUCAGUUCAACCAUUUACAAUAUGUUCCUCUAUUCAAAUUUCAAAAUAAGUAUUAGUUUGAUCACUGGAAUUUGAAGAUAAAUGCAAAAAAGUUCCUUCUCGUUGUAAAAGAGCAAAAUAGCCCCUAUUUUUUUUGACUAUACCCAUCUCUUCUGUUUGCAGGCAGUGGAAGGAGCACCAUGCUGAAGAUACUUGCUGGUAGAGCCAAUCCAAGUCAAGAUUCUGGACUGUCUGGCAUAGUCAUCUACAAUGAAAAGACAGUAUCCGAAGUUCAAAAGAGUCGACUGAUUGCCUAUGUCUGUGGUCAGCUCAACAAGUAAGUCAAUUAAGAUUAUAAAGACUUCAAGGUUAUAAAAAUCUAGCAAAACCAGCCUUAUCUAAAUGAUAUGAACUUAGGUUACAGCUAGAGCAUAUAAUAUGAUUAAUUCAAAUCAAGCUAUCUAGUGACAAACUGUUCCUUCCUUUGGGGGAAAAAUGGAGAAUGCAUGAAAAACAAAAGCUUAUAACAGCACUGGAUGGAGGGAGGGCCAGAGGGAGUAUUUAAUGACGAAGGCACACAAAAAAACCCCACUGUCCAUAUGGUACUUAGGGGGAGGGGAGGGGUUUAGUUACAAGGUAAAAAGUAACUAUAACUUUGUAUAUUGUCACAUCACAGAUUUGCGAAGAGAACAAAAAGGGACAAAUGUUAAAGAGUUGUUGUACGACUGCCACAUAUUAUUGCUUUCGUAAUAACUUAAAUAUCCUUAACUCUAUGUCUAUCUUUUUUUUUUGAACAACGGCAUCACUAACUCUGAUUCCUCCCCUAGGCACAUCCCUUUCCUCUCAGUCCGAGAAACUCUUGAGUUUGCAAGAGACUGCACGCAAGGUCUCCGGCCUGAGAAUUUCACGCCACAGAUGCGAAAGUUCUUCGCCUAUGCACUUGUGGAAGGACAGGAUCCUUUCCUUGAAUAUGUCAUGCAGAUCCUUGACUUGAAGAAAAUAGAGAAUUGCCUAGUUAGUGGCAUAUCAGAUACUGACAGGGAUAAGCUGUCGAUAGCCGAGCUUGCAGUGGGGACCUACUCAGUCAUGGUCUAUGACCAGCCAUUGACAGGCUCAGAUCCAGCAAUGACCUAUGAUUUGGUGAACACUAUAAGGACUGUCUGUAGAAUCCAACAAUCAUCUGCAGUCAUGGCCCUCAAUCACCUCUCUCAAGAAGCAUUUGACCUCUUUGACAGGAUAAUCCUACUUGGAGAAGGGCAUGUGCUGUACCAAGGCCCAAGACAGGAUGCAGUCACAUACUUUGCUCAACUAGGGUAACUAACUAUAUUUUUUCCUUCAAAUCUUCAGGUAAAACUAUUGACGCUAAAAAAUAUAAAAAACUGCUGUUAGGUAUAUGAAGCCUCCACAUGUGGAGUCCUGGGAGUUUCUCCAAGACAUCGCGGCAGAAAAUGGCCUGCAGUACCUAUUGCGAAGGUCAAAUCCACGAGGCCUGGAGGAGUUAGUGGAAUGCUACUACUCAUCAGAUCAUUACCUGGAUGUCAUAAGAAUCAUUGGCAAGAGCAAAGAGUUCAGUACAUAUUGGGUUGAGAGCGAGCCAGGAAUUGGCUUAUCCUUGAAGGAGUCAACCACAUUCAAAUCAAAUAAGACUAAACAUCAAGAAACAGGUUAGUUUUUCUUUUUUGUUCAAGUUGCUAGAAGUGAAGAACCAAACUGUUUGUUCAUACAUUUAAGGCUAACACAGUGUUACUGCCCCCAUUUUCCAUUCAGAAGUAGUUGUUGCAAAACUUCUGAACAAAUCUGGAUCUACUAGUGGGAUUGAAAGUUCAGGAAACAUCCAAGUUGGUGACGUGGUGACGGGAAUUUCCAUAAAUGAAGAGCCACUGCAGUAUCUGGCAACUGGACCAAUACUUGACCACAAGGAACACCUAAAUCAAAUUUUCUCCGCUCUAUGUCAUGCCCGAGGACAUAUCCGUCUUCAGCUUGAACGAUCUGACAAUAAGGCAGGUCAAUCUAUUAACUUUUUUUUUCCAGAACUCAAUUUUCCGUGGUAAAUAAUAAGUUUUACGCGUUUGGAAUUUUGCCAUCAUAAACUUGACAAUUUAUCCAAACAAUUCAAUACCGAAUUUUCCACAUGAUAAUAAAAAUACUGUAGAGCGAUGAGGAUGAAAUGCGAUGGGAGCAAUUUAAGAGGCCAUAUGUGCAACCAUGGUGGAAAUCAACAAGAACCCUGAUCCAGAGACAGCUUAGGAUCUUGAAACAACUUCACGUGUUGAGCACACUUAGAGUCAUUCAGGUUUGCCAAUUGUUAAAAACAUGGCAGAUGCAAAAGGACUGCUACUUGGUUUGCCAUGACAGGGAUAAGACAGAUUACUGAAGUUUUUUUUUUUUGUCAGGCAUGCAUUCUUGGUUUAUUUGCUGGGACACUGUUCUACAAGCUUGGUGGGCAGUAUAAUCUUCAACAUAUGAACUCUGUGAGAGCUCUUGGGUUUGUAAGCACCAUGAGCAUUUUGCUCAUAAAUAUGCCUCAGCUCCCUCUAUACAUGCUUCAGAGACCCACGUUCUAUAAACAUAGGGACCAAAGAUUUUUCAGGACAUCCUCAUAUGUUGUUGCCCAUUCCAUCACAAAUCUGCCACAGGCUUUUAUUGAGGUAAUGUCAUCCGUCGAUCUUUUUGGUCAUCAAUUGUUAACAUCUGCACUAUACAUUCCAUAUGGUACUUGGUCCUAAACAUAAGAACCAUUCUAGUAUAAUGCAAAGAUGUCAUAAUUAAUGCAGGCACUCCUUUAUUCAGUUUUUGUAUAUUUUCUAGCGGGGCUGACAAUGGAAAACAAUGGAGCAGUGUUCCUCCACUACUUAGUUCUGAUGUUUCUUGUGGCAUACUUUGGAUCAUCGAUCUUCUUCUUUCUGAGUGCAGUGGCAUCCAUUCCUGAAGUAGCAAAUGCAUCGGCAGGUAACUAGUUCUUCUAUCUUUGUAACGCUAAUUAACUACGAUAAGCUGGUAUUACAAAAUUUAUUUAGCCUGGUUUAAUUCCAGUAAAUUCUAUCAAAAUUAACACAGAUAAUCAAUCUGACAUACUGUACUGGACUGCUACCUACAUGCAGGCCUCAUAGUCUCCAUUUUCCUUCUGUUUAGUGGGUUUGUGAUUUACCCAUCUAAUAUCCCUCAAUACUGGAGGUGGCUAAUGCAGAUUAAUCCAAUUCGUUGGGCCAAUAUCUCCUUCUGCAAUCAACAGUUCUCAAAUGGUUAUAAAGACUCCUGCAUCAAAUAUCUGAACCAACUUACUUUCUGCAAAGGAAAUCCAGCGAUGACUUCUGGCGAGGCCUACUUAAUCUAUGCUGAACUGUUUACAAGUGUUUCAGGAAAACCAUAUGUCCCUUAUAUAAUUCUUAUCGGUUGGACGCUACUCGCUCUGUUAAUGGCAUUGGUGUUCCUAAAUAAGAUAGAUUUUUCACAAAUCAGUCAAUCUGUACCACAGAUUAAUGAAAGGAAGUUUUCAAAAAACUACUUAUAUGAUGUGGAAGUUUAUUCAAGAUCACUUGAUGGAUAUAUGGAAGAUUCUACUGAGUCAGGCAGAUACAAGUCUCAGGAGCCACCAAAGUUAGCAUCUAGUUCCACAAUAGUAAUUUCCGAGGGUGAGAAUGGUAGUGUAGGGAGCUGGAGGGAAGAAUUCAGAGUUGAAGUCGAAUCAGAACACCUGACAAUACCAGUGACACCAAUCACUUUAACAUUCUUGGAUCUAUCAUUUUUUAGGUAAUAUUCCAAUUCAUUGCUCAAUAGUUCUAUGCUAGCGUAUUGUUUCAUAACUGUGCACUUGAAAGUUAGCAAAAUAUCAUUCAGAAUAUAGUUAUGAAGCGGCGCGCACGGAAACAUUAAGUUAUGAAACAAUACUUGAAUCAAUGCAACUUCAUGAAGAUAGAUAUAGGUUCAAUAAAGUUUUUUUUUAAAAAAUAUACUUCAAUUCCUUAUCACAUGAAGUAUGACAGCUUUCUUGGGACAGGUGUGGAAAAGUAACAAAGGAAGAAGCUAUAGAUUUUGAGAAUAUCAGUGGAUAUGCGAAACCAGGAACUAUGCUAGCUCUUGUAGGGGGUGCUGAUGGAAGUGCAGCUACACUUCUCAAGUGCCUUUCAGGAAGGAAACCUCCAGGUGGCAGUUUUACUGGAGAUAUCCUAGUCAAUAGCACCAAACCCUCAGCUGAUUUCUCAAGAAGUGUGGGCUAUGCUGAGCAGCUUGAUGCUCAUCAACCAUACCUCACCAUACGUGAGUCACUUCAAUUCAGUGCCAGCCUUAGACUAACAAAUGUCAUUAGCAAAACAAGAAGGCAUAUACAUGUUGAAUUAGUUCUUGACCAGCUGGGCUUGCAGUACUAUGGCAACCACUUGGUUGGUUCCUUGAGAGAUGGCACUGGGAAAACAUUUGAAGUAGCAAAGAAGCUUACAAUUGCAGUUGAACUUGCAGCAAACCCAAGUAUUCUAUUCCUUGAGGAGCCUAUUUCAGGUCUUGAUUCGUCUGGAACCUCAGCAAUCUUGAGCAUCCUAUCACAGUUACCAGUUUCCGGUCAAACAGUCAUAGCGACAGUUAGUCAUCCCAACACCCGUGCACUUUCAUACUUCCAUCAAGCCAUCAUCCUAACUCAAGAAGGCCGUCAAGCUUACUUCGGUCCAGUAGGACUCAACUGCCAUGAAAUACUCGGAUACUUUACUGCGAUCCCAAGGGUGCCUCCUUACAUCCAGACACAAAAUCCUAUCAGUUUCGUUAUGGGUGUAACUGGACUUGGAAUUCAAAGAAGAAGAACUGCAGUGAUAGAUUUUGCGGAAGAGUUUCAAAAUAGCCAUUUGCAUGAGGUGGCCAUGAAGGUCGUUAACACUGCUAUGAAGAACAAGAAGUUUGGGAAAGAAAAGGACAGUAACAUGAUAUCCAUUAGUUACAACUAUCCAGCAUCGUUUAUAAGGCAAAUAGGGUUGGUUUUGUUGAGGACACAGAGGUUCUUAUGGAGGAACGUGAACUACACUUACAGCAGGUUUACUGGUUGCGCAAUGAUUGGAUUACUGAUGGGCUCACUCUAUUUCAAGAUUAAGUAUGAAGACACAUACGGGGUGACUUCUAGAUCACUGUACACCUACAUGCAAACUAUACUCAUCGGGGUCAUAUCUGCUAAUAAUGUGAUUCCUCAAAUUGGCACUGACAGGCUCGCCUACUUCCGAGAAAUGAGGUCCAAGAUGUACCUUCCGAUAUCCUACCCAGUGUCAUGGGUGAUCAGUGAAAUCCCCUACUUCCUCGUAGCAACAUUGGCAUUUGUUGGCAUUGGCAAUGGCAUGGCAGGGAUAGCAACAGAGACAGCCACCGAUUUCCU
rnacentral:lncRNA from 1 species